AGAAUGGUAGGUGAGACAUGGUGAUAAAGCAGGUUUAAGAAUGGUAGGUGGGACAUGGUGAUAAAGCAGGUUUAAGAAUGGUAGGUGGGACAUGGUGAUAAAGCAGGUUUAAGAAUGGUAGGUGAGACAUGGUGAUAAAGCAGGUUUAAGAAUGGUAGGUGGGACAUGGUGAUAAAGCAGGUUUAAGAAUGGUAGGUGGGACAUGGUGAUAAAGCAGGUUUAAGAAUGGUAGGUGAGACAUGGUGAUAAAGCAGGUUUAAGAAUGGUAGGUGGGACAUGGUGAUAAAGCAGGUUUAAGAAUGGUAGGUGGGACAUGGUGAUAAAGCAGGUUUAAGAAUGGUAGGUGGGACAUGGUGAUAAAGCAGGUUUAAGAAUGGUAGGUGGGACAUGGUGAUAAAGCAGGUUUAAGAAUGGUAGGUGGGACAUGGUGAUAAAGCAGGUUUAAGAAUGGUAGGUGGGACAUGGUGAUAAAGCAGGUUUAAGAAUGGUA